rnacentral:rRNA from 1 species
CGAACGCUGGCGGCGUGCCUAAUACAUGCAAGUCGAGCGAACAGAAGGGAGCUUGCUCCCGGAUGUUAGCGGCGGACGGGUGAGUAACACGUGGGUAACCUGCCUGUAAGACUGGGAUAACUCCGGGAAACCGGAGCUAAUACCGGAUAGUUCCUUGAACCGCAUGGUUCAAGGAUGAAAGACGGUUUCGGCUGUCACUUACAGAUGGACCCGCGGCGCAUUAGCUAGUUGGUGGGGUAAUGGCUCACCAAGGCGACGAUGCGUAGCCGACCUGAGAGGGUGAUCGGCCACACUGGGACUGAGACACGGCCCAGACUCCUACGGGAGGCAGCAGUAGGGAAUCUUCCGCAAUGGACGAAAGUCUGACGGAGCAACGCCGCGUGAGUGAUGAAGGUUUUCGGAUCGUAAAGCUCUGUUGUUAGGGAAGAACAAGUGCGAGAGUAACUGCUCGCACCUUGACGGUACCUAACCAGAAAGCCACGGCUAACUACGUGCCAGCAGCCGCGGUAAUACGUAGGUGGCAAGCGUUGUCCGGAAUUAUUGGGCGUAAAGGGCUCGCAGGCGGUUUCUUAAGUCUGAUGUGAAAGCCCCCGGCUCAAC